GCAGGAAUGAGAGUUAUAUAAAUGAUUUAUUAACUUGCUUGACUAGGUCUUAUAAAAUUCUGGAUAAAGCUUAUAAUGAAAACUUUAUAUCUAUAGGUCUCGGCCAAAUCUUGUGCCAGCAGCCGCGGUAAGACAAGGGAGACGAGUGUUAGUCAUCUUUAACAGGUAUAUAGGGUACCUAGACGGUGUGCGAAGGCUUAGAAAAGUACCUGCCACACUUGAGUUUGAUAUGGGAGAGGAAAAUGUCAGAAUUAUUGGAGUACAGAUGAAAUCGGCUAAUACUAAUAAGACUGAUAACGGCGAAGGCAAACCUCUAUCUACAAGUGCUUUAUUAUGAUAAAAAAAUAUUAUUAGAUAAAAAAAGUACUAUAACUGACGUUGAGGGACGAAGGCUCAGAGAGUGAAGAGGAUUAGAUACCCCCGUAGCCUGGGCAGACAAUGAUGAGUGCCAUAGGUUAGCCUUAGGCUGAACUAUAAAUGAAAGUGGAAGCACUCCACCUCAAGAGUAAUGUGGCAACGCAGGAACUGAAAUCAUUAGACCGUUUCUGAAACCAGUAGUGAAGUAUGUUAUUUAAUUCGAUGGUCCUCGAAUAACCUUACCACAAUUUGAAUGAUCUAAAAAAAAGAGGUUUACUUUUGUAAAUCUAAGGUUUAGACCACAUGCGUUGCAUGGCUGUCUUCAGUUAAUGUCGUGAGAUUUGGUUAGGUCCAUUAAAUUAACGUAAACCCUUGUUUUAUUUAAUACAAUAAGGCAGCUCUCCGCUUACAAUUGGAUGUGAUAAUAGGGACUAAGACAAGUCAUCAUGGCCUUAAUAUUGUGGGCUAUAGACGUGCCACAUGUACCUUUACAAAGGGAUGCAAUAAUGCGAAUUGGAG
rnacentral:rRNA from 1 species